rnacentral:lncRNA from 1 species
CUAUUAGAAGUGCCGUAUUUUUUGUUAUUUUAUUCUUUACAGAAAGUGAAUCAAAUUGGUCGAAAAAAAAUAGGGGUCACGGACCAUUUAAGUUCAAAAUUUUACUUUUAAACAGGUAUGUAAAAGGGACCAUUUUUCAAUGAAAUGAUAGGGAAAGUAGUUGACAUAUUUUAAUCGGAAUAUCAAAAAAACGUUCUAUGACACUUGGUCCAAAACUGUAAUAUAAAAAGCUGAACUAUAGCUUCAAAGAAUGAGCAAAUAAAAAACAUAGGUCACGGAUAAGGAAAAAAAAUAUUUUGCAUUAAAACCCAAAUUUUGGCGGGAAAAUGGUGAAAAUUGGUGAAAUGUCAUUUUGACCCUUUAACAAAUACGGAUAAUAACGAAAAUAUUCUAUUAGUUAC